UCAGCUCCACACAAAACAAUCACUGCACUCAAAUGGUUCAUCUCAUUACUUUGGCCAUGACCUAAACCCAAGAUGCACAUUUAAAAAAACAACAACUUGUCCACAGAGAAGUUAGGAGGGGGACUAAAUCGUGCUCACAGUAAAACAGACUUACUGGUUUAAAGAUGGCUUUGUGGGUAGUUCACUGCAUAGUAUUUGCUCUUUCCAGCUCCAAUGUCCUGUAAACAUUUCACAACACUCUGUAAAUGAAUUCUGAAAGUGUAAUUUCAGGUGACAAAAUCUUGAAAUGUUUCCCACCAUAUCGAUCACAUGUGACCAUUGCGCCCAGUUGUUUUGACUUGAACUAGAAGCCCAAACAGCUAACAUUCGUGUCUCAUGCGCCGGAUCUGCAACCAGAAAUAAGGACUGUACAACGUAUUAUAGAAAAGCUCAUUGGUGAAAAUCUACAUAUACAAAUAUAUAUUUAUAUAUUUGAUUAAAUGAAACAGCAGCUCCAUAUUCCUAUUUCCAUUAUACAAAUGUUCCAAUACCAUCAUGCUUUCCUUUCGUCCGAAUAGCUGCACACAAAUAUCAUCCAUCCAUCCAUUUUCAUCCUCUUAUCCGUUAACGGGGCACGGGGGCAGCAGUCGCCACCUGAAUCACACUGCACUGUACCAACCCACAUCAGGGGCAUCUACGUCUUGUUUGCAAAGAUUUACAACCCUACACAGCUCCCUGUGUGUCCAUCCAUAAAUCAGCUUGAAAGGCUAGAAGAGGAACACAACAUUCCUCACUCCGACUUAACCCCUGUCAGCUGCAGUGACUCUGUACAUUUGUGCAGACACCUGGAUCUGGAAGGAGGAGGAGAAAGAGGAAUGGGAGGAAAGAGGACAAGUGGACAUGAAAGGAAUUUCGGCAUUGACUGUGCAGCUUGACGUCUGUUCCAUCCCAGGAGAAACAAAGACAACACUGUUCUUAGGUUGAACAUUUUAUUGCAAAGAUAGGUCCAUGGUUUUUAGUACAACUACCUCUUAAAGCAAGCAGCUUGAACCCCUGUCCGUUAGUAGUUAUUUCUCUGUUCUCUGUCCAUAUCACUAUAAUGAUUCAUUUUCCAUCUGUGUCCUUAUAUAUAUGUAUAUAUACAAAAACAAAUAAAAAAUCCACUUAAAUACAGUUACAUUAAAUAUUCAGUAAUAUUUUACACCUUUUACUUUAAUCUUACCAUCAUUCAGUCAUAAUGACUUUAUUCUUUACAUGACACAAAUAUGGAUUUUAUUCAAUUAAUUUUGUCUCUUAACACGUCAGGGAAUGUAAAUAGUUAUAAAUAUUUUAAAUAAUCAAGUUGACAGUUAAGUUACAGUAAUGAGUAAAGUAUCACAGUAGGAGUGAAUAAUUCAGCUUAAAAUUCAAGAGGAAUGCUGAAAAAGGAGGAAUGUAUAAAAUCUAAAUGAACUGAUUUGGUGUCUUUUUUAGUACAAUAUUUAUUAGUGAUGGAAAAAAAAGUAUUGUUCUUAAGAACAUUGGAUCAUCCUUAACCAAAAAAUAUAUAAAAAGUUUUUACAUGGGGGAAAUGUUUGUAUUGUAUGAUAUUAAAAUGAUUCAUUAUUCAAAGAUAAAAAAAUUACAUGAAUUUAUCUCCCUAAUAAAUCUAUGCUAAAAAAGAACAAAA